CUUCCCGUCGGGGCCCAUGGUCAUUUGCACCUCUGGUCCGCUCGGCUGCUCUGUCCCCUGAGAGGCCCAGGAGGUUGGGCUGCGGUAACUCUGCCCACCCGGCAUUACGGAGAUCCUAGGUGGAACAGAGACCGGCUCAGAUGUCUGGAGCGUUGAAACGCGUGUGUGCUUCCUUCCAGGAUGGCCCCCGCUUAGUUGUUCAAAUAUGGGCGAAUAGUAGUGAACCCUGCCAUCCGGAUUGGCUCAUAAGAAUUUUAAAAUUUUGAUUAGUCCGCGUUUACAGUACGUAAUGAACACAUUUGUCAUAGGGAGUUGGCACGUGUUUAUAACACAUCUUGAUUAUUUGUACCUCCCCUCUGCAUCUCAUGAAUAUUGAGUCUAAAGCUUUCUGCUCCUGAGACUUUUGCCUUUCCCCAAGGAAUAAAAGAGGUCACAUGAUGACAGCUGUGCCCUUAACAUCCAGAUCCCAGGUGGGGCAAGGUAGGACGUCAUUGGCCGAUCAGAGAUCUGGGUGCCUGCAUAGGGCAAGCCAGCAAGAAUGAAGGACUGGCAUGAAUGCAGCGCUGGUAAAUGGCAGGAGUAUGAGUCACCCAGAUGACUACUGGAAUAUAUAGAGUGGACGAGGCUUGGGACUAAGGUGCUGGCCGUUUCCUUCCACAUAAUUACCUUCAUGUGCAGAUCCAAGCCCAGCUGCCACAUAGCAGGUUCAGCUCUCUGUGUGGAGAUAUACUUGGUUCUCACUGGGAAAGUGUGCUGAGCUCCGGCUUGCUGCCUCACAUUCUGCAUCCUUUUCUGCCACACCUUCCACAUUUCACACAAAACUGGUGUUAUUGUAAGAGUCCUUCCCUGGCCUCUCAGUGAUGGUUUUGACCAUCAUCAUACCUUGAAGUUUGAGAGUGUAGAAGUUAUUGUUUCAGGACUCAGAGACUUUUGAGGACAUGGCAGUGCAAGUCACCUAGAAGGAAUGGGCCAGCUUGAAGUCCACCAGGAAGGCCUUGUACACGGAAGUGAUGAUGGAGAACUGCAGGGCCAUGGCUUCCCUGGGUAAGGCCUCUCUGCUACCCAUCUCUGCCUGGGCCCUCAGAGAUGGAAGGACUCCUUUGUUUACCAGAUGACCUCAAAUGGCAGUGUCAGAGGUUGGCAGCAGCAGCAUCUGUUGAGAGACCAGCUCUGAACUUUCAGCUGGAGCAAGAGAGGGAAGCCCUAAUCAGGGGCGGCUGGGAUCCAGGCCUUGCAGAUUACAUCUUAAAACUAAGAAGAUAUACUUACCUAGCUUACAGAUACUUUAUCCAAUAAGAUAUAAAGAUUUCUGGAAAUCCUCAGUGCUGGGAAGACAGGACACAAGCUUAAUUCUUGACUUUUACCAGUUUUCAAUUGCAUGUUCAUUAAAGUUGCUCAUUUUGAUGUACAGAGCAGGCUCCCUUGUCCUUUUUUACACGGCUUUAUAGAGAUAUAAUUCACAAACCAUAUAUUCCAGUCAUUUAACAAUUCGGUGACAUUUAGUAUAUAUUCAUAAGAGUUGUACAAAAAUCACCACAAUCUACUUUUAACUUUUUCUAUCAGCCCUCACUAAAAAAUGCUGUAUCCAGUAGCAGUCACUCUACUUUGCCCUGCUGACCUCUCAGUUUCGGGCAGCAGCUUAGCCUAGUUGUGUGUCUAGAUUUGCCUGUUGGAUAAUAUGUGCUCUUUGCAACCGGCUUUUCACUACCAUGUUUUCAGGAUUCAUCCAUUUUGUAACUUGCAUCCAUACCAUUCCUUUUUAUAUGUGUGUAGUAUCUGUUGGAUGGAUUGUAUCACAUUUCGUGUUUCUGUUCAUAGUGGGUAUUUGGGUUCCACUGUUUUGGCAGUAUGGAUUAUGCUGCUGUGAACAUGAGUGUAUGAGGCUUAAUGGAGACUUGCUUUCAGUCUUCAUGGGUAUGUAUACUAGCUGUACAUUUGCUGGGUAAUUUAGUAACUCUUGGCUGAACUAUUUAAGGAAUGCCAUAAUUUUUUCCCUGAAGUAGCUAAAUCAUUUUAUUUUCCCCUGGCAGUGUAUGAGGUUUGCAAAUUCACCACAUCCUCACUACUUAUUACUGUCCAUCUUUUUUAUUAUAGUUAUGCUAGUGAUAUAAAGUGGCAUCUCAUGGUUUUGAUUUGCAUUUUCCUACUGGCUAAUGAUUUUGUGCAUCUUUUCAUGUGCUAUUGACCAUUGGUAUAUAAUCUUUGCAGAAAUGUCUGUUUAAAUCCCUUGCCCAUUCUUAAUUGGUUCAUCUUUUUAUUUUUGCAUUGUAAGAGUUCUAGGCUGAAUCCUUAUCAAAUAUAUCACUUGUAAA